AACGUAGGUGGCAAGCGUUAUCCGGAUUUACUGGGCGUAAAGGGUGUGCAGGCGGGGGUGUAAGGGGGGUAUGAAAUCUCCAGGCUUAACCUGGAGGGGUUAUGCCAGACUGCAGUUCUAGAGGACGAGAGAGGGGGGUGGAAUUCCGGGUGUAGUGGUGAAAUGCGUAGAGAUCCGGAGGAACCCCAGAGGCGAAGGCGGCCCCCUGGCUCGUACCUGACGCUCAGCCACGAAAGCAUGGGGAGCGAACGGG
rnacentral:rRNA from 1 species